ACAGAACAUGAUGACUGGAGCUUGCAUGGUAUGUGAUUAAUGUCUCUGCAUAAUCAGGACUUGCAAAAUAGAUAUAACUAU
rnacentral:snoRNA from 1 species